CCUACGGGGGGCUGCAGUGGGGAAUAUUGGACAAUGGGGGGAACCCUGAUCCAGCCAUGCCGCGGGUGUGAAGAAGGCCCUCGGGUUGUAAAGCACUUUCAGUGAGGAAGAACGCCUGGUGGUUAAUACCCAUCAGGAAAGACAUCACUCACAGAAGAAGCACCGGCUAACUCCGUGCCAGUAGCCGCGGUAAUACGGAGGGUGCGAGCGUUAAUCGGAAUUACUGGGCGUAAAGCGCGCGUAGGUGGCUUGAUAAGCCGGUUGUGAAAGCCCCGGGCUCAACCUGGGAACGGCAUCCGGAACUGUCAAGCUAGAGUGCAGGAGAGGAAGGUAGAAUUCCCGGUGUAGCGGUGAAAUGCGUAGAGAUCGGGAGGAAUACCAGUGGCGAAGGCGGCCUUCUGGACUGACACUGACACUGAGGUGCGAAAGCGUGGGUAGCAAACAGGAUUAGAUACCCCUGUAGUC
rnacentral:rRNA from 1 species